AUGCGGAUUAGCAAGAACUGGAAGAGAAGGGGCGUUAACGGAGAACACUUUCCAGAUCAGCAAUCCAACCCAAGAAAGAAGCGAGCCACACAGCGGAGCAGAGAGAGGGGAGGAAGACGGGCGUACGUACGGGGAGAGGUCAGGACGCGCGGCAGCAUCCACCCUUGCCUCCGGCUCCGGGCUUGUGCAAAGCCCGCAAUGCGACGCGCGUGUGUGGUGUCUGUGUGUCGGCGUGUGUGGCCGAGAGGGAUUUAUACGUCAGGGGAAGAGGAAGAAGGAGGAGGAGGAGGAGGAGGAGGAGGAAGAUGA
rnacentral:rRNA from 1 species